UAAAUCCAGAAGGGCUCUUGGAUUG
rnacentral:piRNA from 1 species